CACAGGGAAGAAAAAUAAAAUGCAUAAAUACCUGAGGCAGCUUUGUAAUUUCAAUACGGAAAUGAAGUCCUUCUAAUGAAGAAAUAUCUAACAGAAUCAUUGUAUCUUGCAAAGACUAUCUUAGGCUGCGAUCUGGAAGACAUGAGUUUAAUUACUGGCUCAGUGUUUUGUGCCUUACUCAUUGCACAGAGAGCACAUCGACAACUUCAUGUGACAUUCCAGUGGUUCUCAUAGUCUGGAGUCACUCCUCUUCCCUUCAAGCAGUAAACUCAUCAGGGAAUAUUUAAUUAACAAGAAUUUCUGGAGCAUUUUUAGUGUAUCGGCACCGUUAAAACAUUCUUUUGGAAACCACAUCAUAUCCUGCAUAAUGCCUAGAGCAAAAUUAAGCAUAAAAUAUGUAUUUGAGGAGUUUCUGUAGACUUAUUACAUGUUUCCAUAUAAGUAAUUAUGGUGUACUGUGUCAUAGAAGUCUUUCAGCCUGUUAUUCAAAAGAGACCUACAAUUUCUCAUUUUUAAAAUACAAUAUACAUUAGGAGAGGAAACAGUCUGAGGAAUAUUUCAGACAUAUGAAAGAAUAAGUCAUGUCCUCAAACACUAUAGAAGUACGCAUUUACAUACAACCAAUUUGUAUGGUAAUCACAGGCCAAUCUCAUCCAGAAUUUCUCAGCAACACAAAUCAAGUUUGAAUUUACAGAGUGUAGUCAAAAGUGAUAUAAUUUCAGCUACAAAUUUCUCCAAAUUGGUGGGAGCAGGAAAGCUAUUUCUACUUCUUGGCCUUCCCUCAAUCUGAGACAUUCUUCUCCAAUUUCUUCUGCCUAUCAAAAUCAUGCAAAACCCAAGUAAAACUACAUCUUUUGUGAAGUAUUAUAUUGACUCCUCACUGAUACAGUUUGAAUAUUUGUCCUGUCUAAAAUCACACGUUGAAAUUUGAUCCCCAGUGUUGGAGGUGGGACCUGGUGGGAGGUGUUUGGGUCAUGAGAGCACAUCCUUUAUGAAUGGGUUGGUGUCAUUCUUGAGGAAUUGAAUGAGUUCUCACUCUUAGUUCCCAUGAGAUCUGUCUGUUAAAAAGAAUCUGGCAUGUCCUCUUGCUCCCCCUCUCACCAGGUGAUAUGCAGACUCCACGUCCCACGUCCCCUUCCGCCAUGACCAAAAGUUUCCUGAGGCCUCACCAGAAGCAGAGGCUGGUGCCAUGUUUCUUGUAGAACCAUCAGUAAAAUAAACCUCUUUUUUUUUUCCUUUGAGACAGAGACUUGCUUGUCACCCAGACUGGAUGGAGUGCAAUGGCAUGGUUUCAGCUCACUGCAGCCUCCACCUCCUGGGUUCAAGUGAUUCUCCUGCCUCAGCCUGCCGAGCAGCUGGGAUUACAGGCAUGCACCACACCUGGCUAAUUUUUAUAUUUUUAGUAGAAAUGGAGUUUCACCAUGUUGGCCAGGCUGGUCUGGAACUCCUCACCUCAAGUGAUCUAUCUACCUCGGCCUCCCAAAGUGCUAGGAUAUUACAGGCAUGAGCCACUGUGCCUGGCCAAAAUAAAACUCUUUUUAAAAUUAAUUACCCAGCCUCAGAAAUUCCUUUAUAGCAACACAAAAUGGACUAAGACACUCACCAAAUAGAAAUAUUUCUUCCUUCUUUUGUGUUUCUACCCUACUGCUCUUCUACAUUGUUUUUAAUCAUCCUUAUUUUUCACUUACCUAUCUAUCUGUAGUUAAUUAUAAACUCCGUGAGAUCAAGGGACAGAUGACAUUUUUCUCCUCUUCUUGCUAAAUAAUCCAGUGCUUUGCAGAUAGCAGUUCAACAAAUGAUGAUUGUCUGAUUAAAUGAAUGAACAAAUGAAUACAUGAGUUAAUGAAGCUGAGAGAACCUUAGUUUUAUUCAGUAUAGAUAUUUGGGAUGACUACUGAUUGCUGUGUGCCAUGCGCUGUGUUCAGUCUUGGGUAUACAGUGGUGAACUUGUGCUUACCACAACAGCAUGAAUGGUCUAAUAUUUUAACAACAGUUACAAAUGCUUUCUCAAUGUUAAAGAAUAUAUAUUCAGAAAUGCAGACAUUUUACCAUUUUUGAGAAUGUAUGGAAAAAUCUGUGGCUCUUAAAAACUGAACACACAUUGGAGUACAGAAGGGAGCUUUCAAGAAAUAUAGUGAGCAUAAAGAAAGCUGUGGGUUUAGCUAUCAGCGCCUAAAAAGUAUUAAACAUGUCAACCAUGUCAAAACAGCACUGCUAACUCUGGAGAUGUUAGAGAUUCUAUUUCAGCUCAAAACAGUAUUACUUUUUGAUCUUAUCCAAACCAUUUCUCGCUUAAAAUCCUCAGUUUUAUAAUCAAGUAUUCAUUCCCCUGACAAAUGAGUAUUCUGUGGAUUAAUUAUUGUAAAGCACUUUGCAAAUGAAAGGCCUCUAUAAAUUCUAAGUGGUAUUGUUAUGUUGUGGGUGAUGUGCCAGUGAAAUAUUGACAAAAGCCCUUAUUUACUAAAGCCUGCAUUGAUGUAUUAAACCCUUGCUGUAGAACAGUGCCUUUGGGAGUCUUAUAUAUUCUUUUCUUUAGAUAUGUGAAUUGGCAAUUAAAAAUAAUUAUAUUGCAGUAGUCUGUCAUGCCAGUCCAGAAAUCUGCAUUGAACAACAUAGGAUGCAGUCUUUAAGUUCCAAUUACCAAACAGUAUCCUUUUCUCUUCCUUUUUCAAACAAAGUAUUGCAUGUGAACCAGUCUAGCAAACCUGGAGACUUUUUAAAUUUUUAAAAUUUUUGCUUCAUAGCAUAUUUGCAGAAAAGUGAAUGAAUCAGUCUUGUUUGUGGGCUAGGACUCAAAUUGUGAGAAAUUCUAGCCAAAUAGGUUUCUCCCUCUGUAUUAACUUUUUGAAACAGGCAUACCUAUAUAUUGACCCUAGUACUUUGAUUGUUCUUGACAUGUGUUGGUAAAAGGGAUAGUAAAGGGUGAGCAAUAACCAUGCUGUGCCAAAAAGAAGUCUAGAUAAUGAAACUUGAAUAAAGCAAUUUGAAAGAAGUUAGGUUCUCAUUUGGGAGCACUUUGCUGACUAGCUGGAUUUUAUUCCAUUUGUGAACUUGCAUGUAAGCCUCUCUUCUCUGAGUUUGGACUGAAAUGUGUUCAGGCAUCAUGUUAUCAGUGCAAAUGACAGAAGAGAGUUAGACUGCACAACCUAAGUACUCCACAUGUUUUCUUCUGAAAUCUAAAGUUUGGCCCUUAAGAGUAUUUUAUUUCUAAAUUUAACAAUAUCAAGUUUGCAGGACAUUUCUUGAGGGAUUGUGAGAGUUUCAUAGAGACUUAUAGAUUACUGAUGAGCAGUAAACUUGUAAAGAGCAAUCUUUGAUUUCUUCUGAAGCUCUAAUAAUGUUCUUUGUAAAGAACUAUAGAAUAUGUAAAGAUGAUAAAUAUUAAUAUGUUUUCAGAUGUUGUAUUUUCUUAUUUAAUCAGACAACUUUUAAAGAUUUGGUUUACAAAUAAAACAAGGCUGGGCAUGAUGUCUCACACAUGUAAUCCCACCACUUUUAGAGACCAAGGCAGGAGUAUCACUUGAGCUCAGGAAUUCGAGACCAGCCUGGGCAACAUGGCAAAACCAGAACUUUACAAAAAAUAUGAAAAUAAGCUGAGCAUGAUGGUGUAUGCCUGUGGUCCCAGUUACUGGGAAGGCUGAGGUGGGAGGACCACUUGAGCCUGGGAGGUCAAGGCUGCAGUGAGCCGUGAUAGUGCCACUGCACUCCAGUCUGGGUGACAGAAUGAGACCGUGUCUCAAAAAUAAAUAAAUAAGAUAAAAUACAUUGUAGGCCAGGCGUGGUGGCUCAGACCUGUAAUCCCAGCACUUUGGGAGGCCAACUCAGGAGGAUUGCUUGAGGUCAGGAAUUUAAGACCAGCCUGGGCAACAUGGAGAAACCCUGUCUCCACCAAAAAAAAAAAAAAGGAAACAAAAAAAAUUAGCUGCUGUGGUGGUGUGCACCUGUGGUUCCAGCUACUUGGGAGACUGAGGUGGGAGGAUUGCUUGAGCCUGGAAGAUGGAGUUUUCAGUGAGCUGUGAUCCUGCCACUGCACUCCACCCUGGGCAAGAGAGCAAGACUCUGUCUCAAAAAAUAAUAAUAAUAAUAAUAAUAAUAAUAAAUUAAUUAUUUGUGUCGCAGUUUCAAAAUCAGAGUUGUAUUGGAAUCACUGUCAAAAAUUCAAGUGUUUGUGAUAAAAAUAGUCCAUACCAACUUGAUUUUGACAAAUAUUUCAGGGAAGAGAUUAUGUGAUUUUAUAUGAGAUUCACUAUUCUUUAAAGAGAAAGUCUAGAUUUAUGUUUAAGAUAGUCUAUCAGAACAAUCAUUCUAGAUUAAUAUAUUUUGAUAUUGCUUCCUGUUGAAACAUUUUAUUAGUAUUUCUGCUGUGAUUAUAUUAAGCUCUUAUUCACUGGAUAGAAAAUUAGGAGAGAAAUAUAGACAUUAAUUUGAUAUCUCCACACUUGGAUAUUCUGUCUUUGAAUUCUUCUUAAAUAUAAAACAUUAUUUUGAGGCUUUAUAUGUGUUGUAUAAUUAUCUAGGAGAGGUGGCAUCUGAAGUCCAUACUGCUAUGGGCAGUGACUCUACUGGGAUGGGCAUGAGGUGAUCCCUGGUAUAUAAUUAGUGCCAGCGGCAUGAUGGCAUAGUAGUGUAAAUAUCUUCAAAAUUAACAUGCUGUUUUGUAGUGGAUAGACAAGUGAACUGGGAGUGAGGAAAUCCAAUUACUACUUCCAGUCCUGCCAUUGACCCACACCAACAAGUACUGUGCCUUGCCAGAAGGCUCUAGGCAGUUCUCUUAGACAGGUCUCUUUCUGUAAGCCAGAGAGAGUAGGAGGUGGGAGGUAACUGAAUGCUAUGACUGAAUGCUAGUAAGAGAAUGAGGCAAGAUUCAUACUGUUUCUUCUCCAUCACUCUGAGUCUUAAAACCUCAUUUUUUUUUUUGUCACUAGAAACAAUAUGUUUAUAUCUGCAUAGAACCUCUGUCUUUGAUUGGUAGGAUAAUUGCUAGAGUCCAUUGGUAUUAUUCUAAGAUAGGGUCUGAAGGCCAAAAUUCUAAGAGUUUGUGUCUCAAGAAACCAAACCUUUUGAUGACUUCCUAGUUUUAUUUGCUAAAGAGAGCUCUCUUAAUGGUAAACAAUAUAUCUUUAUAGAAAGAUAUUAUUUUUUUUCUGAAAGUAGUUACCUAGUCUAAUUAGGGUUUAUUUACCUCUAUCAAUUUAGAAGAUUACUGUUGCUUACCUUUUAUUUUAUGUUAUAGUUGCAACAUUUUUCUCUAUCACCCAAAAUAUGUUAGAAGAUCUGGAAGAAAGGAAAGAAAGCAAAAACAGCAUUUUAAACUUUAAAAACACAAACUGUGAUAUCUUUCUAUACAAUCUCAUGUACUUUACUUGUAAGUGUAGCAGUUAUUCUGCUUUUAUACGAUCCAAUAGCUGUGCUUCACCAACCUAGGUUGUUUCGAUUCUUUGCCUAAGGAGACAGGAAGCUACACUUAAAAAGGAGAAAAAGAAAAGAGUGAUAGUGGUGACAAGAAACAGUACUAUGACCAGAAUGUUUGGUCAUAUGUUGAAAUCCUAACUCCUAAGGUGGUAGUUUUAGGAAAUGGGGCCUUUGGGAGGAGAUUAAGUCAGAAGGGCUCUCAUGAACGGCAUAAGUGUUCUUAUAAAAGAGACCCUGGAGAGCUAGUUAGCCCCUUCCUCCAAGUAAGCCGUCAGUGAAAUGGUGUGUUAGUCUGUUUCACGCUGCUGAUAAAGACAUACCUGAGACUGGGAAGGAAAAAAAAGGUUUAAUAGACUCACAGUUCCGCGUGGCUGGGCAGGCCUCAUGAUCAUGAUGGAAGGCAAUGAGGAACAAGUCCCGUUUUAAAGGGAUGGCAGCAGGCAAAGAGAGAACAAGAGAGAAGCAAAAGCGGAAACCCUGUAUAAAAUCAUCAGCUCUCAUGAGAUAUAUUCAGUACUAUGAGAACAGUAUGGGAGAAACCACCCCCAUGAUUCAAUUAUCUCCUACCAGUUCCUACAACUUGUGUGAAUUAUGGGAGUAAAAUUCAAGAUGAGAUUUGGGUAGGGACAGAGACAGCAGACAUCAUCUAUUAACCAGAAGAACAAGCACUUACCAGACACUAAAUCUGCCAUCACCUGGAUAUUCAACUUCCCAGCCUCUGGAUCUGUAAGAAAUAUAUUUAUAGUGUUAUAGUCUGGUACAGCCACCCAAACAGAUGAAGAUAAGCAAGAACUAGGAGAAACAACCCUGAAUCAAAAGAAUCUUGACCUCGUGAUCCUCCUGCCUCGGCCUCCCAAAGUGCUGGGAUUACAGGCAUGAGCCACUGCACAUUGUGAAAUUAUUAUUAUUUGCCUUCCUAUGUCUACUAAAAUGACAUUAAAUUGUCAUGUCCCAAGCAAUUCUCCCACCUCAGCUUCCUGAGUAGCUGGAACCACAGGUGUGCAUCACUACACCUAGCUAAUUUUGUUUAUUUUUUAUGGAGACGUGAUCUCACUAUGCUGCCCAGGUUGGUCUCAAACUCCUGGGCUCAAGUGAUCCUUCUGCCUUGGCCUCUCAAAGUGUGGGGAUUACAAGUAUGAGCUGCCUUGCCUGGCCUGUAGUGAUUCUUUUUUAAAAAGUGACAUCUGUAAGAUUCUUAAACUGUUAUGUCCACAGAAUAAUUAAUAAAUUAAAAGUGUUUUAUAAAAAUAUAUACCCAUAUAUCAGAUAUUCUUAUUAUCCAGGAAGCUGUCCUACUCAAUGGUAGUAACUCACCAGAUGAUAAUAAGAAAAGCAGUUUAUUCAUGCACGAAUACAUGUACAGUCCAUGAGCUGGAGACAUGACAAUUUAAUGUUUAAUAGACAAGGAAUAGUGACAUUGUAUAUGUAGAUAGAUAAAUAACUACACACAUAUAUGCAGAGGUAAGAAAUACACACAUGUAAAGAUGUUUUUAGAUGUAUAUGUGUAUAUACAUGUAUGUUAUAUACAUUUUUUAUAUGUUUACUUUUUUUUGACAUAAAUAACUUUAUAGCUUACCAGACCAGAAUUGAUUCUGACUCCUACAUUGUUAUUAACAAGGAUACAACCUUCAUGUAACUGGGUAGGGUGUACGUUUUAACUUUAAUACAAUAUAAUUUAAAAACUUGUCUUUUCUGUGUAGCAAGUGGAAUUUUGCAGCUAGUUACAUGAAGAAGUGAGUAUGAUGAAGACCUGGGAACUUGAGAGGUGAAGUCCUGGCCCUGCUACUCAUUGGCAGCACAGCUUGGGCAAAUGAAUACUCUGUGUCAGCCAAGAGGAGAUAUUAGCUGAGUGUGACUCCAAGCUCCCAUGCAGAGAAAUCAUCUUGCAAAUGUCACCUGAUCUCUUUGAGCUUCCGUUUUCUCAUCCAUAAGGGAAAGAUGAUAAAACCCUUUCUGAAGGGUUACUGGAAGGUUGAAUGAGGCACUGUGAGCUGUGUUAUAAAAUAAAUUAUUUUAACUGGGCCUGAUCUCUCUCUAUAAUCCCUAUUUUGUAAAUUCUGCUUAUUCCCCUGGUAAGGAGAUAACUGGCAUUUAUUGGACAUCUAAUCGUACCAAGAGCUGUUUACACUAAUUAAUAUUAACUACAAACUUAGAAAUUUGAUGGUGUUACUCCAAUUUUGUAGUCAAUAGGCAAAAGUUAAAAGUGGUUAACUCUCCCACAUAAUGAAAAUAAGAAGAGAUACAGCCAAUAAUCCUACUCUGGGCUGUUUGUUCUUCUUUUCUACAGGCUGGAGCCACGUCUGUGCUGUACCCAGCAAGCUUCCAGUCUGUUCCUCACACCUGUUGUCUUAGAAUGGUCGUUAUAUUUUCCUCUUUGAAUCAUUUUUUUUUUCAUAUAUUCCAGUGGCUGUUCUUUCUUGUUUUAUUCUUUCUUUCAUUUUGGCACAAAAGCUGAGAUGCUAUUGUGUUGCGCCAAAUCACCAGUCACGUUAUCUAUUUGGUUUUUAUUGUAACACUUGUCACUGUCUAUUGAUGUGUUUAGCUAGUUACUAAUGAAGUCUUUCAAUAGAAUGUAAGUUCCAGGAGACCAAGGAUCUUGUCUAUCUUGUCUGGUCCUGCAUCCCAGCACUUAGAAUAGAGCCUGGCAUUGUAAAUACAUAAUUAAUAACUCUUGAAUAAAUAAAUGAAGGAUGCUCAGCUAUUUCCCCAAAUCUAUUUUCUAUCAUUUGAGACUGAUCAAAUCAUUUUAAAUAUAACCUUCAGUUUGCUGCAUGAUGAUCAGUGUUUUCCUUGAAUGUCAACUAAUUUCCUGGAAAGGUUUCUUGGUGGUAAUAGACUUGAGUAUCAGCGAGAGCCAUAGCAGGAUGUCAAAGCACUCGGACAUGGGGUCUCUUUUGGUAUCGUGAAUGGCAGUUCUAUGAUAAAAGUUACACAUGAGAGCUUCGGAAAUAUUGAAGACAUUUAAAAUGCAAAUAGACUGUUUAUAUCUUGAGUUCACAGUGUGCAGCCAGUCUUUAAAGUGCCAUUCCAAAUAAAAAAAUGGAUUUAGAACAAGGGUCCAUGUGCCUUGGUAACCAGCACAAGCUAGUUUUGGGAUAGAGUAAAAUUUUGUCUACUUUGAUAGUGAAAAGCCAUUAAAUAAGAAUUAAUUUGAGCUCUUUUGCUUGAGUCCAUUUAUCAUUGCCCAAAUCCUAAUUAUGAACACUUUAUAGUUGAUGAUUCAAGAAAAUAGGAUGGCUAUGGAUGAACUUCCAGGCUUUCAAUUGAAAAUGUGGAAUCAUAAAUUAAAAAUAUCAUUUGGAUUUUAAAUAUAAAUUACAUCUGGAUAUCAGCUAUGACAAAAAAGCAUACUAUAAUUUAGUUAAAAUUUUAAAAAUUAAGCACAGGCAAAAAAAUCUAAUUUUGUAGGACUAUUCAUGAAUCCUUUGGGAAAUAGAUACAAUGUUUUGUCUUUUGCUUAAAUGAUACCUAGAUGGUUUAUGUAAUUGUGCUUCAGCUUUGACAGUAUUUCUUGAUGUCUGUGUUAAGUGUAUUCUGCAUUAACUGCUAUUAAUUGCCCUGUUUCCUGCUGUGAAUUUGUUUUUUCUGUUAGGUAAUUGUAUUUUGUGAAUGGUGCAUCUUUGUCACACAGAGUAGCAUUGUGGUUCACAAACUAAUUUUUUCCCUGGCCAGAGAUUGCUUGAAAACUUGUCACUUCUAUUAAAAGUUAUGCCUAUAAUGAACAUCCCAAGUCCUGAAGCAAUUUUGGAAGAUAUUUUUUAUUCUAAAGCCUUUCCUUCAACUUAUUUCUAGGAGUGAUUAAUGCCUUAUUAAAGAGUAACUGACAAUAACUACAUUUUCUUGAUAACUGAGUUUGUCAAGGAAAGUUACUAUACCAGGAAACCCUUUUUUGGCUUAGGCUGGGUUAAGGAAGUAUCUUUUGUCUGUGCUUAUGCUCUAAGGUGCUUAUAUUUGUUGUAGCAUUUUCCACUUUAAAAAAAAUAAGGUAAUGUAUCCCUUUCCACUAGUAGAUGGUAAGCAUCUCAAAAGCAGAUGAUCCAGAUGCCAUGUCAACCUUUGUAAAUUCAAAUUAUGGCAUAGUUCUUGGCACACAAUAAGUAUUAAAUAAAUAGUUGUUGAACUUGAAACCUAGGUGAUUUUAAUUUAUACUCUCAGAGACAUUUAAGGUUUUGCAGUUAUCUGCCCGUCCACUGAAGGACCCCAGUCUACUUUGGGGUUAGUGGUCUUACUGUUUUGGCUAGCUUUUUAAAUGUAAUCUAUUCUCACCUGCACUGGCUUUCUGAGCUUUUCUCAUGAUUGCAGAUUCUAGUCUUUGAUGCAGCAGACCUGAUAACUAAACACACUGAAACACUAAGCUAAAUUUCACAGAUUGUUAAUCUCUGAGCUGAAUAAAGCUAUAUGCUUAGCGUUGUGUUAAGUAUCAUGAUGAUACAAAGAAAAUACAAGACACAGUUCCUCCCUGAUUUAUUUGGAGAGACAGUAUUCAAAAAGAGAAUACAAGUGGAGAAUGAGAUAGUAUAAUCAGCAGUGACUUGUGAAGUGUAGAUGAGGGUAAAGAAGUGACACUAACGGAAUUGGUAAAUAAAGUAAGGUUCAUAAAUUAUUAUGAUAGGCUACAUGAUUGGUUCUAAACCGUGAAAGUUAAGCAAAAACAAACAGGGUGAUUGACAAGAUUUAUUUGGAGAAAAAGAUUUAGUAUAGUCAAAUGCUGUAUUUUUCUCAUUUUAGGCCUGGUAGUCUUUAAUUUAUUCUGAGUCAUUCAGAGAAUUCCAUUUAUGUUUUAUCAUUAUUUCAGCUUUUAUUUCAAGUUUGUAAAUUGUCUUAUCAUUUUAGAAGUGGAUAAAUGUUUUCUGAAGAAAACAUUUUGAACGGAAAACGUAUUUUACGGCAACACUUCUGUACAUUGUAAGUGUGCAUGCCAUGGCUCAGCAGCAGACAUAUAAUGUCUUAAAGUUUCCCAUAAGUUAUCAAAACCCUCCUCUGCUAUCAUGGAACUUUGUAGUAUUUGAUCACUUGUUGAUAAAAAUGAAGAUAAUUAAACAAAAAUCAAUCUCAAGUGUAUACUCAGAACAACAAUAAACCAUUAUCUUAAAAGUUUUAUAAAUAUUAAUCAGCAUAAUCGAUCAAAUAAUUUCUUUCUGCAUUCAGUAUGAAUCAAUUUAUUCCAUUCUCUCUUUUGUGCCUUUUUUGGAAACCAUUUAACAUUUCCUUGUUGAAAACCUCUGUAUCUUCCAAUUGUGAGCGUAUGUAAAACAACCAAAACUGGUCAUGAUCCCAGAAAUCAAUCAAUUCAGUCAGAUUGCAGAUCUUUCUGAGCAACUGAAAAAAAAGGGUAGCAGAUUUCUGCCUGUUUUAAAUUCUCCACAACUCAGUAACACCACCUUACUCAGCACUUAGUAACGCUGAAUGGAAAUAGUGAAUGAGAACUCUUCCAAACAGAGUCUACCAUUGAUGCAUAUUAGAGUUAGAGGGUUUUUUGAUUUGGUAAGGACCUUUGGGAGGCUUAAUAACUCCAUCAGAAAAGUAACCUCUCUCUGAUGGGUGCCAACAGCACAUGUAAUAGAAAAUUUAACCAAAACUCUGAUGAUAUACAAUUCAGAGCUGUAGGACUCAUCAUUUUACUCCUUAGCUUUUUAAAGUUCAUAUUGUAGCAAAAGUAUAUCUGUUACUUCAAUAUUCAGUUAUCAUCUCCUUAUUGAAAUUUUCACUUGCUUCAGAGAAAUGAAUGGCUGCCUUUUUCUAAGCCUGCCAUUCUUUGCUUAUAUAAGUUUGAUAUAUUUUUGUUUAAUUGAAUGUGUAUCCAUUGCUCCUAAACUGCAGUCUCCUCAGGGACAGGCACCAGGUUAUGCUAAUUUUUGUAUCUCCAGCACAUUGUAAAUACUCAAACAUUUGCUGUCAUAGUUAAUGAACACACUAUUAGUUGACUUGAUUAUCUUUGGUUAUUUCCACCAAAACAAGAUAACCUUGGAAUAGUCUAGAAUACUCUCACAGUAGGAUGGUAUUUAUUUUACUUCAUGCAAGAAGUUUUAAUUACUAAAGGCAGCCAUGAAAAUAAUUUUAGCUAGACCUAAAACGUGGUUCACGGCAGAAACACCAAAAAUGAAAGUAUAAUUAGUUUUUUGGACAUUUCAAUUUCAUUAGAGAGGAUAGGAAGUACACAAGAGCUUCAAAAGUGAAAAGAAUGUCAGGUUAUAAUGAGAAAAUGAAUGACAGUAACUGAACUAUGACAGAUUCUUAGAAAAAUGCUUAUUUACAUAGGCCAGUUUUGAAAAAACAAUGAUAUUUAAUUUACUUAUGUUGCAUUCCCUGUAAUAAGCUGAUAUUCUUCAUAAGUCAUUGAUCUGGAAAAAUCAGUUCUUGACAUGAAGGUAUUUUCUUGAGAUUGUAGUGAAAAGGGCAUGAGGUUUAGACCCAGGAGCCUUGAAUUUUAGUAUUGGCUUAGCCCAUUAGAAAUAAUGUGGUUAUGGCCAAGUUCCUUUAUUUAUUUGAGGCUUAUAUAUUUCAUCUGUAAAAUGGAGAUAAUAAUUCUGCUCUGACAGGUAUUAAUUGCUUAUCAACUACUAAGGGUAAUGGGAAUUAAAUUGGCAGGAGAUCAUUUAUAUUACAUUUCACGUCAUAGGGCAUCAGUGUACUCAAGGCUUGAACAUCUGAAUGUGUCCGGUCAUAGUAAAUCCCAAAUAGUACUUAGUAUACAAUAGCUUGUUAUAUGUCUCUGUAAUGUGUCUUUGAAUAAAGGCUAUGUCUCCACUUGUACAUCGGUGGAACCUAACUAGAGUAGCUCCUGGGCAGUCCAUUCAGCUUGUUGAAUGUAAAUCCCAGUAACAUACAUAACUUCAGAGUCACCAGCAAACUGAUAUGAGCCCAGUGUUUGCUGCAUAACACCAGGGCCAAUGAGUUAAAAGUCCAGCUUCCCCAAUAGUUUUCUAGGUGACUCCAGGAACUCAUUUCAAGACUUCCAGCCUGAUGAUUCUAUGACUUUAUGAAAGCCAAUAUAUUACAUUAGAGCCUGCCUAGAUUUCAUUAUUUUCUGAGUUAUUGGGAACUUGAGAUUAGGAGUUUUGUUUUCUUUAUUCUCUAACUCUAUUGAUUUGCCUUGAGAAUCAUGACAAACAUUACUCUCUCCCUGUGGUAUGGUAGAUAAAAGGCAGCUCUGCAGUGUGACCUGCUUCUCAAAAAUCAAAUCGAUCAAUACAUUUUGUUCUUCCUUUUUUUUUAAAAUCUCCUUUCUCCUCUGUCACCAUCUCCUGCAUUUAGCUAGAGUCUCAUAUCAUUGGGAAGCCAAAUUGCAAAGGUAAUAUUAUGUUUUUUUACAUUGUUGUCUGAAACUUCUGCUGUAAAGAUUAUUUGAAGACAGAAUGAGAUAUAGCAGCAAUUGGGGCAUAUUUUAGCAGCUAUCUCAAAUAAUUUUAUUAGCCAGAUUUCCAUUUAAGAAUAUUAAUUGAGCCAGGCAUGGUGGCUCACAUCUGUAAUCCCAGCACUUUGGGAGGCUGAGGUGGGCAGAUCAUGAGGUCAGGAGAUGAAGACCAUCCCUGCCAACAUGGUGAAUCCCAUAUCUACUAAUACAAAAAUUAGCUGAGCGUGGUAGUGCACGUCUGUGGUCCCAGCUACUCGGGAGGCUGAGGCAAGAGAAUUGCUUGAACCAGGGAGGCAGAAGUUGCAGUGAGCUGAGAUUGUGCCACUGCACUCCAGCCUGACAACAGAGUGAGACUCCGUCUCAAAAAAAUAUAUAUAUUAAUUGAAUGUCCACAAUGGGCAGGGUGCCUGUGCCCUGUGAUCAUCAGCAUGUCACCAAAAGCAAAAUGCAAAUAUUCCAUGAUCCUCCUCAUCAAGAACUUUGCAGUGUAAAAAGGAUGUUGAGGUUUAGAGUAAUGAUUUUCUAGGUUCCAACUAGUAGAAAAUAGGGACAAGAGUGUAAAUUGGGAUCAAAGUACAGUUUUAUUAUUAGCGGUAAGUGUCUAGCAGCUGGAAAAGCUGCAAUGCAGAAUUCAGUGUUGCUCUAAGACAGACAUGAAGGAUUAUUUCUGAGUCUCUGAAUUAGACCUCAGCGUCUACCUGUGGAGAAAGCUGUGUCUGUAAGUAAUCCCAAAUGCUCUUAUGCAUUCAGCUUCCUGGAGUUCGUCUGGUAGAGCGGGAAAGAAGGAGAAUUUCAGGCUUUUAUGCAUGCAGUAAGAUGAGAGAACCUGGGCUCUGUUUUAGAAGUACUGAGCACAUGGGAAUAGGAGGGAAAAUUAUUUGUGGCUAUGCAAGUAGUGAUAUAAGAUAGCGUUUCUCCCACCAACCACUCUCUCACCACCUUUGAACCUAUAUGGCCCUGUUCAUAUUUUACAUGGCCCAGUGAACAUCAAGGUUUGACCAGUGAGAUUACUUACAUCUCAAAUGGAAUAAAGAUGUAGGGGGAGUGACUGAAAAUUGGUUUCUCUGUUGGUGGCAAAGGAAGUGGUGAAAAUUUACCUUUCUUUUUUUUUUUUUAGACGGAGUCUCACUCUGUCACCCAGGCUGGAGUGCAUUGGUGCUAUCUCGGCUCACUGCAACCUCCGCUUCCUGGGUUCAAACUAUUCUCCUGCCUCAGCUUCCUGAGUAGCUAGGAUUACAGGCACGCGCCACCAAGCCUGGCAAAUUUUUGUGUUUUUCUAGUAGAGACGGGGUUUCACCAUCUUGGUCGGACUCUUAACUUCGUGAUCUGCCUGCCUCAGCCUCCCAAAGUGCUGGGAUUACAGGUGUGAGCCACCGCAGCAGCUGAAAAUUCUCUCCCAACCAGGAGUGAUAACAUCUGUUCACAAAUAACUGUUGUAACUACAAUCUCCUAAAAAUCAAAGUCCUAUAGCUAUUUAAUUAUAUGUGUGUAGAAAUUUUUAAUCCUUUCGUGAAUAGAGCUGAAUAUAAAUGAUCAAAUAAAUGCGUAUGCUCAACCUCAUCCUUUAAUGAAGAGUUUAGUUGCCUCUCUGAUGUCAAAAAUUUAAUAAAGAUAAUAUUUGUUUUGUUUGGAAAGAAAACAAGUUGAAUCACAACUGAAAAAGAACUUUUCAUACAUUUAUUACUAUUAUAAAUAACAUAAAUGAUAAUAGUUCCUAUAUACUGUGGUUCCAUAUAUGCUGGCGCCACACUAGGUGUUUUACGGUGGUUGUUUAUCUAGUAUUUUAGAUAACAUUCAAAAAUACGUUUUAUGCCAUGUUAUGAAAAUUGUUUCAUACUUGUUGUACCUUUACAUUGUUUUUCAAGGGCCAGUCCAAGAGCCACCUCCUCUGGGAAGUCUCUCUUAGUUUUCCCUCACAUACAUCAUUUCUUAAUUCUAGGAAACACUAUAAUACUGCUUGCAAAACAUGGUCAUCCCUUUUUCAACAGCCCAAGGCAUCCAUUUUAUCUGUUCAUAUCUUUCAUGUCCCACUUACCUCAUGGGCAGAAAUUAAGAUCUUCAUGUCUUUUCACUCUCCCUGAGCAAUCACAUCUAGUGCCUUCUGUACAGUAUAUACUCCUUAUGUAAUUUCUGUAGACGUGAAACUAUUCAAAAGAAUGAACUUAUUUAUUUAUUUGAGAUAAGAGUCUUGCUCUGUUACCCAGGCUAGAUUGCAGUGAUGUGAUCUCGGCUUACUGCAACUUCUGCCUCCCAGAUUUUAAGUGAUUCUCCUGCCUCAGCCUCCCAAGUAGCUGGGAUUAUGGGUGCUUGCCACUACACCUGGCUAUUUUUUUUCCUGCAUUUUUAGUAGAGACGAGGUUUCACCAUCUUGGCCAGGCUGGUCUUGAACUCCUGACCUCAUGAUCCACCCGCCUCAGCCUCCCAAAGUGCUGAGAUUACAGUCGUGAGCCACUGCUCCCGGUCAAGAAUGAACUUCUUAAUGUGGGAAAUCAUAUUGUUAUAUAUGUGUUUAUAUAUAAAUAUACAUAUACAUAUAUUUAUAUUUAUAUAUAAUGGGUGAGGCAUGUAUUUGUUAUGUUUUAGGUAAGCCCUGGAUACAUUAUACUCAGAGGACUACCCCUAAUCCCUUGACCUCAGUCCUUUGGGAUAUCUGAAAACUAUUUGCCCAUUUGUUGCUAAGUGCCCAGGCUGAGGUCACAGUGCUACCUUCAGCCGCAUGGAGACACCUGUGAAGUCAUUACACAGAUUAUGUGUCUAAUAUAGGGCCUCUCAGAGGUGUAUAUCAAUCUCAACUUAAUGCCAGGCCACAAUAUCUUCACACAUGAAUAGUGUCCCCCAAAUUCAUGUCUACUUGGAAUCUCAGAAUGUGACCUUAUUUGGAAAUAGCACUCUACAUAUAUAAUUAAUUAAAGACCUUGAGAUGAUGUCCUACUUGAUUCAGAGUGGGCCCUAAAUCCAGUGACUAGUGUCCCUGUAGGAGAGUCGCAGAGAUACAUAAGGAGAAGGCCGUGUGAAGACAGACGCAGAGGGUGAAGUAAUGAGGCUACAAACCAAAAAACACCAAAGAUUUUCAUUAACCCUCCAAAGCUAGGAAAAGGCAAAGUAGGAUUCUUCCCUAGAGAAUUCAGAGGGAAGAUGGCCUUGCUGACAUUUUGGUUUCAGAAUUGUGAGAUAAUACGUUUCUGUUGUGUAAGCUACCCAGUUUGUGGUAAUUGUAGUGACAGCCCCAGGAAAGGAAUAUACCCUACACACUGAAUGUGAGAGGCUGUAGAAGGUGUUAUGGGAAACGCACCACAAACUUCUGGGGCCUCAUCAUUCAGUGUGGUGAGUAAGCGGAAACCAGCACUUCUCUUGUCAAAUCCUUUUUGUAAUACAACAGAAUUUUAAACAAUAAAUAAGGCUUCAAAAAAGGCCUCGAGUUUACAUUUUUAAGACAGGCUUUCUGUGGAAAUAUAUCUAAGGCAUCAUGUCAAAGUAUCGAACAUUUAAACUAAAAAUUAGAAUAUUUUAGCAUAUAUUAUUAUCCUUUAUCCUGUUUCUGGUUUUGUUUUGCACCUAUCAACAGUCUAUUGUCAGAUCCUAGCACUCCAGCUAACUGAUUAACUUUGGCAAGUUACUCUUUCUGCCUCAGUUUCCUCAUUUGUCAAAUGAGCAUGAUAGUGUCUAGAUACAGAUUUGUUGUGAGAAAAAAUAAAACCAUAAUUGUAAGGCAUUUGGAGCAGUAUUUGGUACAUAGGAAGUGCCUAAAUCUUGUCAGAUGGUAUAAAAGUUUCUACUCAGUGACUUGAGAUUUGCUUUGGAGAGGCACAACUAUUGAUUUUAUAAUAGCAAAAGACUUAUGUGACAAGAAAUGAGAUUGUGCAAAAUAUUUUGUAAUCACAGAUAAUUUUAAUGUAUGGAGAGAAAGUAAAAUAUUGAGUUAUUUUCUAAUUUGGUAGCUAGUAAGUAAGGAGACCAAAUACCAUGUUUCAUAUUUUAAACUGUGAAUUCUUGUUACAUUUCUUAUUUAAUGCUAAGCUAUGACAAGGAAAUAAAUGUGUUAUCUGCUCCAUUAACUAAAAUUUGUUUGGAAAAAAACCUCAUUACAUUUGCAAAGUAGGAUUCAAAAAACAAGCUGCCAAAACAGCUGUGCAGUUCUAAAAAUAAUAAUAAUGAAUCUAUGUAUAACCCCAUCACACUCUCUUUAAAAGCACACACACACAUUUCGGCUUCUUUGAUCUUUGAAAUUGUCUUUCAUUUUCAUCCACUUGAAAUGUUAUAAAAAAUAUUUUUUGAUUGCAUGUUAAGAUAGAAUUUUUCAAAAGAGUAUCUCUUAUGUAAAUGUAAAUUUUAAAAAUGUUUCAUCAGCCCUACAGCAAGGGUAAAUUGUUUACAUAAUUUAAUAUGCAUUAGCUGCCCACCAACACAUAUUCUUUUAGAGCUGGAAAUCAAAUUCAAAUCUGGAAGGGACCCUGGAGACUCUAAAGUCCAUUUACUUAAUUUAAUCGACAUGGAAACUCAAGCCCAGAAAAUGCAAUUUAUUCACCCCAUGCCACACAGCAAGGUAGUUAGUGACAGACCUGUUGUGCUGCCCUCCUUCCUUUUUUAACUUUUUGUUUUAUUGUUUGUGAUACAGCUGAGUCCUCACGAAUUGAUCUAGGGGAAAUCUCAUUCAGAAUUGCUGGUAUAGAUUAUGACUUUGUGGUUCACUCCCUAUCUCUAUGUCACGUGCCUAGUACAUAGUACUGUAGGCUCUGAAGCCCAACUGUAAUUGUUGACCAUAUCACUUGCUGGCUGCGAACUUUAAUACCUCUAUGCCUCUGUUUCUGCAUCUAUAAAAUGGGGAAUAUAAUAGUGACUACUUCAUAGGGUUGUUAUGAGAAUUAAAUGAAGUAAGGGCCAGGCGUGGUGGCUCAUGCCUGUAAUCCCAGCACUUUGGGAGGCCGAGACAGGUGGAUCACGAGGUCAAGAGAUCGAGAUCAUCCUGGUCAACAUGGUGAAACCCUGUCUUUACUAAAAAUACAAAAAAUUAGCUGGGCAUGGUGGCACGUGCCUAUAAUCCCAGCUUUUGUAAUCCCAGGAGGCUGAGGCAGGAGAAUUGCCUGAACCCAGGAGGCGAAGGUUUCGGUGAGCCGAGAUGGCGCCAUUGCACUCCAGCCUGGGUAACAAGAGCGAAACUCCGUCUCAAAAAAAAAAAAAAAAAGGUAUAUAAAAUGCUUAGAAAAAUGGCAUGUAU